CCUACGGGAGGCAGCAGUGAGGAAUAUUGGUCAAUGGACGAGACUCUGAACCAGCCAAGUAGCGUGAAGGAUGACUGCCCUCUGGGUUGUAAACUUCUUCUAUAGAUGAAUAAAACGAGGCACGUGUGCAUUUUUGCAUGUACUUUAUCAAUAAGGAUCGGCUAACUCCGUGCCAGCAGCCGCGGUAAUACGGAGGAUCCGAGCGUUAUCCGGAUUGAGUGGGUGUAAAGGGAGCGUAGAUGGGUUGUUAAGUCAGUUGUGAAAGUUUGGGGCUCAACCGUAAAAUUGCAAUUGAUACUGGCAGUCUUGAGUACAGUAGAGGUAGGUGGAAUUCGUGGUGUAGCGGUGAAAUGCGUAGAUAUCACGAAGAACCCCGAUUGCGAAGGCAGCUUACUAAACUGUGACUGACAUUGAGGCUCGAAAGUGUGGGGAGCAAACAGGAUUAGAUACCCCGGUAGUC
rnacentral:rRNA from 1 species